CAAAGAUGCUUUAUGUGGUUUACCCUAAAAAAAGUGUCAGACUUCAGCAAGGGCUCUUUUGGGUUGUAGUUUUCUGGAGACAACAAACUGCAGAAAUCCUGUCUGCAGAAGGGCUAGAAGAUAUCCAAACAGUUUCUGCAGCUUCUACUUCCCUGUUCCAACAACCUUUGGUUAAUCCUCUUGUUUCUCUUACCAAAGUUGCACCAUUUAGUGUUUUACACAGACCAAUUUAUCUCAAAACCUGUAUAGUGGCUUGAGUGCCAAACUUGAAACACUUAAUAUUAGACACAUAAGCAUCUGUCCAACUCUCCUUUCACAUACAAUAGACCAGACCUUCAACAGACCGUAACAAUACAAUGGCUCUAGGGAUUUUGUGUCAGAUUCUGUACCUGGUUACAUCGGUAAUGUUCACAGUGUUAACCUGCAGAGUGGGAUUUGUACUGAUGAGAACUAAACAUAAACCUGCAUUUUUAGAAUUUCUGAAAGCAUCACAGCUUCCUUGAAUGUCUCUUUACCAAAGAAUAAUCUUAAUGCUGUGCUUGAUUUAGGCAAUAUAUAUAGUCCCCACUGCUGACAUCAAUUCAUCCUCAGAGAAGACAAUUAGAAAUCCACUUCAGCCACAGUAGAAUUGUAUCUCUGUUGAAAAGUGUAUCUGCAAAAAAAUUGUCAAGGAUGUGACAUGGCCUCUCUGCAGUUACUCUGAAGUCACAAAGACCCAUGAUCUAUGUACAGGGCUGUUAGAACACCACAUAUCCUAUCAUUAGGCUGUUCUCAAAGCAAUAAGAAAGUUGUCAGCACCACAGAGCAUUAAAAGCUUUCCUAAAAUAUUAACACCUCAGUCACCCUCCUUUCAUGAUUCUUGCCUUUUAAUGACAGAAAAAUGAUUUUGACAAGCACAACCACCAGGAUUUUCAAAGGGGAUUGUCUGGGCAAUAGCUGGAGCUGCAUCACAGAAAAUGCAAUGGGAUGCCAAUCAGAGUGACCUGGAAGAGCUUGAGAAGUGGAGCCAUGUGAACUGGAUCAUGAGAUCCAGUAGGACCAAGCGCAAGAAAAGUGCUAUUGUUUGUAAAUGCAUUCCUGUUGAUGUACUCUAGAAGCAGAGAGAAAAAUGAAAGCCACAAAGAAAAAGCUCAGAUGAAAAUCAAACUGAAGAUUAUAUCCACAAAGGGGUAAAGAAAAAAUGUCAGAAAUUGCAAUCCAACAUGAAAUUAUUUUUCAGAGAAAUUUUUGAAAUGUU